rfam:Trachipleistophora hominis chromosome Tnknown scaffold00206, whole genome shotgun sequence.
GGGGAAUUAGCUCAGUGGUAGAGCGUUUGCUUCGCAAGUAAAAGGUCUCGAGUUCAAACCUCGAAUUCUCCA